rnacentral:rRNA from 1 species
UUUUAUGGAGAGUUUGAUCCUGGCUCAGGAUGAACGCUGGCGGCGUGCCUAAUACAUGCAAGUCGAGCGAACGGAUGAGAAGCUUGCUUCUCUGAUGUUAGCGGCGGACGGGUGAGUAACACGUGGAUAACCUACCUAUAAGACUGGGAUAACUUCGGGAAACCGGAGCUAAUACCGGAUAAUAUUUUGAACCGCAUGGUUCAAAAGUGAAAGACGGUCUUGCUGUCACUUAUAGAUGGAUCCGCGCUGCAUUAGCUAGUUGGUAAGGUAACGGCUUACCAAGGCAACGAUGCAUAGC